rnacentral:misc_RNA from 1 species
AUUAAAUCUUUUGGUUUUCCCAGCGCUAGCAAUUUUCUUCUCUAGAUCACCUCCAAGAGCUAACUGAAGAUGUGGAUACUCAAGCUUCAGGCAUUGAUUUACAAGAUGAGCCUAAGAAGCAAACAUCAUAUCCUCUCUAUAUUGCUCUGAAAUCCUUUGCUCUUCAAAAUGGCUUAGGGUUUUCCAAAUAUUAGAAAAGAAAGUUUGGUUCAGCUGUCCAAGAACGGCAUAUGACCAAGCUAAAUUACCGAGUUGAUCCCUAUUAA